rnacentral:miRNA from 1 species
GCUGACGGGUUCUGCUUUUCUUUGCCUGAGGGGUCCUCUGUCUACAAGAGUUUGACUGGGAUGGAGGAGAGGGUUUGACUAGAGAGUGAGAG